rfam:Myotis davidii contig160614, whole genome shotgun sequence.
GGCAGUUCUUGGGUCAGGCACCCCAGAAUCGGGCUCCCUCCUCUCUGCUUCCAGGUGGGUCACCUGAGAACUACA